GUCAGUCUGGCCAACAUCGUGAAGCCCCGUCUCUACUAAAAAUACAAAAUUAGCCGAGCGUGGUGGUGGGCGCCUGUAAUCCCAGCUACUCAGGAGGCUGAGGCAGAAGAAUCACUUGAACCCGGGAGGCGGAGGUUGCAGUGAGCCGAGAUCAUGCCAUUGCACUCCAGCCUGGGCAAAAAGAGCGAAACUCCAUCUCAGAAAAAAAAUAUAAAAAUAAAUUAAAAAAUAAAAAUAAAAAGCCCACAUUUGCCAGGCACCGUCUAGAUCCAGCACCGUCCUCAUUUAAAACAGUUGGACUUGGGGGGUUGUGCACUGGAAUGACUAACCUGGAAGCCACGCCACGACUCAGGGGCGGCGGGGACUCAAAUCCGCACUAUCAGAUGCCGCGGCAGGUGCUUAAGACCUGCAGCCUAGAAAGCGAGCCUAUCUUAUCCCCACUUUAGGAAAAGUUGUUUGGUGUUACUUAAGGUUAUGACAUUGUGCUCUGUGAAGUCAUUUGCGUCCCCGACACCUCCCAACUCAGCUGGGACUGGCCAGUGCCCUGCUCCCCGACCUCGCCGUGGCGGCCAGUAGGAGGUGUCGGCGCCCCAGGAGUCCGCGGCCCAGCCAAUGGGAGCCGCGAGAAGGGCCGGGGCGGAGCCUUGACGCGCGAUGCCAGGGAACCACUCCCGUGGGAUUUGGCCAGAGGCAUCUCACUGGCGUCCUGUCGCCCAGGCUGGGGUGCAGUGGCUCGAUCUCAGUUCACUGUGACCUCUGCCUCCCGGACUGAAGCGAUUCUUCCGCCUCAGCCUCCCCGGUAUCUGAGAUUAUGGGCGUGCACCACAUGCCUGGCUAAUUUUUCGUAUUUUUAUUAGAGACGAGGUUUCACCAUGUUGGCCAGACUGGUCUUGAACUCCUGGCCUCAGGUGAUCCACCCACUUCGCCUCCCAAAGUGCUGGGAUUACAAGCGUGAUGCUCAACUAAGAUAUGGGAGAAAGAAAGCUAGAUUAGCACAGGAAAAAGCCACAGUAGGAGGAAGGAUAAAGGCAGCCCAGAAAGGAGAAUUGGACAGAGAAGUGAAGAUGAGUGGGUAUGUCAUAAGGUGAGAGAUAAUGCUGAGACAUUUAUAAUUAGAACAGAGUUUUCAUGUGAGGAUAAGGUUCAGUCCCCAUUUAAAUCAAUUAGCUCUGCAGUGGGGGAGAAUCUGCUCCCUAGGCCAAAACACCUAUUUGAAAUUAGCAGAAGAAUCUGGUGACAGCCAGUGCAACCAUUUCAAUAAAUAAACCAAAAAUAAACUGCAUUGCUGCUGAUGGACUAAAGAUGCCAAUUUUCUAUAUAAAGGGUGACACACUCAAUUUCCUUCUAUUCAUUACAUUUUGGCAUAUUUAAAAACUAACACACAUUUUUCUUUUUUUUUUUUUUUUUGAGACGGAGUUUUGCUCUUGUUGCCCAGGCUGGAGUGCAAUAGCGUGAUCUCUGCUCACUGCAACCUCUGCCUCCCAGGUUCAAACGAUUCCCCUGCCUCAGCCUCCCAAGCAGCUGGGACUACAGGCAUGUGUCACCACAUCUGGCUAAUUCUGUAUUUCUUAGUAGAGACGGGGUUUCUCCAUGUUGGUCAGGCUGGUCUGGAACUCCCAACCUCAGAUGAUCUGCCUGCCUCAGCCUCCCAAAGUGCUAGGAUUAGAGACAUGAGCGACUGUGCCCGGCCAAAAACACAUAUUAAAAUUUGAAAUUGACAUUAAAAUAUAAUAGAUUGUAAGUGUAUCAUAAAUUAUAAUUUGUAUUGCAUAAUUACAUCACACUUGUUUUUACUUAACUCCAUUAUGUAGUGCUGGUAGUAAGCAAUAUUGAGGCAGAAUAGGGUCUGGAGGCGGGGAACCUAAGGCAGAUUUGUGCUGACUUCCUAGAACUGAAUCAAGAGGAUCAGACUGUACUCCCUUUGGCUCCCCAGUCUUCAUUCAGAACUUUACUUCAGCCUCUGAUUGGUCACCUACUACAACCAAUCAGACUGGUCGUGGGCCACUCCUUAAUUUACAUACAGUAUAACCAAGUAACCAAUGGGAAACCUCUAGAGGGUAUUUAAACCCCAGAAAAUCCUGUAACCAGCACUCUUGAGCCCCUUGCUUGAGCCUGCUCACACUCUGUGGAGUGUACUUUUUGUUUCAAUAAAUCUGUGCUUUCAUUGCUUCAUUUUUUUG
ensembl:lncRNA